AGAGUUUGAUCCUGGCUCAGGAUGAACGCUGGCGGCGUGCUUAACACAUGCAAGUCGAACGAACCUUCGGGUUAGUGGCGGACGGGUGAGUAACGCGUGGGAAUCUGCCCUUAGGAGGGGGAUAACGGCUGGAAACGGCCGCUAAUACCCCAUAUGCCGAAAGGUGAAACGAAUUUCGCCUGAGGAUGAGCCCGCGUCUGAUUAGCUUGUUGGUGAGGUAAUGGCUCACCAAGGCUUCGAUCAGUAGCUGGUCUGAGAGGAUGAUCAGCCACACUGGGACUGAGACACGGCCCAGACUCCUACGGGAGGCAGCAGUGGGGAAUUUUCCGCAAUGGGCGAAAGCCUGACGGAGCAACGCCGCGUGGGGGAUGAAGGCCUCUGGGCUGUAAACCUCUUUUCUCAAGGAAGAAGAUCUGACGGUACUUGAGGAAUAAGCCACGGCUAAUUCCGUGCCAGCAGCCGCGGUAAUACGGGAGUGGCAAGCGUUAUCCGGAAUUAUUGGGCGUAAAGCGUCCGCAGGCGGCCUUUCAAGUCUGCUGUUAAAACGUGGAGCUUAACUCCAUCAAGGCAGUGGAAACUGUUGGGCUUGAGUGUGGUAGGGGCAGAGGGAAUUCCCGGUGUAGCGGUGAAAUGCGUAGAUAUCGGGAAGAACACCAGUGGCGAAGGCGCUCUGCUGGGCCAUAACUGACGCUCAUGGACGAAAGCCAGGGGAGCGAAAGGGAUUAGAUACCCCUGUAGUCCUGGCCGUAAACGAUGAACACUAGGUGUCGGGGGAAUCGACCCCCUCGGUGUCGUAGCCAACGCGUUAAGUGUUCCGCCUGGGGAGUACGCACGCAAGUGUGAAACUCAAAGGAAUUGACGGGGGCCCGCACAAGCGGUGGAGUAUGUGGUUUAAUUCGAUGCAACGCGAAGAACCUUACCAGGGUUUGACAUCCUGCGAACCUCUAAGAAAUUGGAGGGUGCCUUCGGGAACGCAGUGACAGGUGGUGCAUGGCUGUCGUCAGCUCGUGUCGUGAGAUGUUGGGUUAAGUCCCGCAACGAGCGCAACCCACGUUUUUAGUUGCCAGCAUUCAGUUGGGCACUCUAGAAAGACCGCCGGUGAUAAACCGGAGGAAGGUGUGGAUGACGUCAAGUCAUCAUGCCCCUUACAUCCUGGGCUACACACGUACUACAAUGCUACGGACAAAGGGCAGCGAACUCGCGAGGGCAAGCAAAUCCCAUAAACCGUGGCUCAGUUCAGAUCGUAGGCUGCAACUCGCCUACGUGAAGGAGGAAUCGCUAGUAAUCGCAGGUCAGCAUACUGCGGUGAAUACGUUCCCGGGCCUUGUACACACCGCCCGUCACACCAUGGAAGUUGGCCACGCCCGAAGUCGUUACUCCAACCCUUGUGGAGGAGGACGCCGAAGGUGGGGCUGAUGACUGGGGUGAAGUCGUAACAAGGUAGCCGUACCGGAAGGUGCGGCUG
rnacentral:rRNA from 1 species